CUCUAAACUUCAUAAAAGGCUAGAUAUUAAAAAACAAAUAAAUAAAUAAUGAAAUGUUGCCCCUAUCGAUUUGAGUGAGCUGAAUAACCAAAAAAAUAAAAAUUGAUUACCUAUGAUAAUAUUAAUAUGAUUAUAAUUCUAAGAAGUUUGUUUUACGAUCUAUAUGUACAACAAAUUGAAAAAAUAAACAACACAUAAUACUUUUACAACAUAAAGUGGUCAAUACAUUUCUAUAUGUUGUAAGGUUAAUUAGGAGAGAAAAAUAUGGUAGAAAUUGUUAAGUUUGUUUAUUUAAUGAUCUUCUUUAUUUCCUUAUUUCAUGCAGUAGUUGGAGAUUAUGGAUUAGAAGAAAUGGAUUUUUUAUCAAAAAAAAUAAAAGAAGAAAUGGAUUUAAUUUGCAGAUAUAACUCUGAAUGUUCCAAAUUUAAGUGCCCACCUCCUACGCUUCCAGCAUGCAUAGGUGGUGGAUGUAGAUGUCAUUUUGUAAUGAAGCCCAUAGUAGAAUUGUAAUGAGCUAGCUAUAAAUAAUUGUAAUAGGGAUCUUUGUUACUCAUUCAUGAAUUGUGAAGUUGUAACUUCUUUCUCUCCCAAUCACCUUGUACUCUCAGUUCUAGUUCUUAGAAGUUGUUUUUUUCCCUUACAAAAUAUAUCCUAUCUUUGAGUUCA